rnacentral:rRNA from 1 species
GCUUGCUGCUUCGCUGACGAGUGGCGGACGGGUGAGUAAUGUCUGGGAAACUGCCUGAUGGAGGGGGAUAACUACUGGAAACGGUGGCUAAUACCGCAUAACGUCGCAAGACCAAAGAGGGGGACCUUCGGGCCUCUUGCCAUCAGAUGUGCCCAGAUGGGAUUAGCUUGUUGGUGAGGUAACGGCUCACCAAGGCGACGAUCCCUAGCUGGUCUGAGAGGAUGACCAGCCACACUGGAACUGAGACACGGUCCAGACUCCUACGGGAGGCAGCAGUGGGGAAUAUUGCACAAUGGGCGCAAGCCUGAUGCAGCCAUGCCGCGUGUAUGAAGAAGGCCUUCGGGUUGUAAAGUACUUUCAGCGGGGAGGAAGGUGUUGUGGUUAAUAACCGCAGCAAUUGACGUUACCCGCAGAAGAAGCACCGGCUAACUCCGUGCCAGCAGCCGCGGUAAUACGGAGGGUGCAAGCGUUAAUCGGAAUUACUGGGCGUAAAGCGCACGCAGGCGGUCUGUCAAGUCGGAUGUGAAAUCCCCGGGCUCAACCUGGGAACUGCAUUCGAAACUGGCAGGCUUGAGUCUUGUAGAGGGGGGUAGAAUUCCAGGUGUAGCGGUGAAAUGCGUAGAGAUCUGGAGGAAUACCGGUGGCGAAGGCGGCCCCCUGGACAAAGACUGACGCUCAGGUGCGAAAGCGUGGGGAGCAAACAGGAUUAGAUACCCUGGUAGUCCACGCCGUAAACGAUGUCUACUUGGAGGUUGUGCCCUUGAGGCGUGGCUUCCGGAGCUAACGCGUUAAGUAGACCGCCUGGGGAGUACGGCCGCAAGGUUAAAACUCAAAUGAAUUGACGGGGGGCCCGCACAAGCGGUGGAGCAUGUGGUUUAAUUCGAUGCAACGCGAAGAACCUUACCUGGUCUUGACAUCCACGGAAGGUCUCAGAGAUGAGACUGUGCCUUCGGGAGCUGUGAGACAGGUGCUGCAUGGCUGUCGUCAGCUCGUGUUGUGAAAUGUUGGGUUAAGUCCCGCAACGAGCGCACCUUAUUCCUUUGCUGGCAGCGAUAGGUCGGGAAACUCAAUGCAGACU